GUUGGUGACCAGCGGAGGGAUCAUUACCGAGUUUACAACUCCCAAACCCCUGUGAACAUACCUAUUGUUGCCUCGGCGGUGCCUGUUCCGACAGCCCGCCAGAGGACCCCAAACCCUGAUUACAUUAAAGAAUUCUUCUGAGUAACCGAUUAAAUAAAUCAAAACUUUCAACAACGGAUCUCUUGGUUCUGGCAUCGAUGAAGAACGCAGCGAAAUGCGAUAAGUAAUGUGAAUUGCAGAAUUCAGUGAAUCAUCGAAUCUUUGAACGCACAUUGCGCCCGCUAGUAUUCUGGCGGGCAUGCCUGUUCGAGCGUCAUUUCAACCCUCAAGCCCCCGGGCUUGGUGUUGGGGAUCGGCGAGCCUCCGCGCCCGCCGUCCCCUAAAUCUAGUGGCGGUCUCGCUGUAGCUUCCUCUGCGUAGUAGCACACCUCGCACUGGGAAACAGCGCGGCCACGCCGUUAAACACCCAACUUCUGAAAGUUUGACCUCGGAUCAGGUAGGAAUACCCGCUGAACUUAAGCAUAUC
rnacentral:rRNA from 1 species